rnacentral:rRNA from 1 species
CUGACCUCNAAUCANGUGGGACUACCCGCUGAACUUAAGCAUAUCAAUAAGCGGAGGAAAAGAAACUAACAAGGUUUCCCCUAGUAACGGCGAGUGAAGUGGGAUGAGCUCAAAUUU